AUUGAACGCUGGCGGCAUGCCUUACACAUGCAAGUCGAACGGCAGCACGGGAGCAAUCCUGGUGGCGAGUGGCGAACGGGUGAGUAAAGUAUCGGAACGUGCCAGUCGUGGGGGAUAACGUAGCGAAAGUUACGCUAAUACCGCAUACGAUCUAUGGAUGAAAGCGGGGGAUCGCAAGACCUCGCGCGAUUGGAGCGGCCGAUAUCAGAUUAGGUAGUUGGUGGGGUAAAGGCUCACCAAGCCGACGAUCUGUAGCUGGUCUGAGAGGACGACCAGCCACACUGGGACUGAGACACGGCCCAGGCUCCUACGGGAGGCAGCAGUGGGGAAUUUUGGACAAUGGGCGAAAGCCUGAUCCAGCCAUGCCGCGUGCAGGAUGAAGGCCUUCGGGUUGUAAACUGCUUUUGUACGGAACGAAAAGGUUUGGCCUAAUAAGCUGAGCUCAUGACGGUACCGUAAGAAUAAGCACCGGCUAACUACGUGCCAGCCGCCGCCGUAACAC
rnacentral:rRNA from 1 species